AACCCGGCACAUAACCACAACCUGAAAGCACCAGUUCCGCAUGGAUCACUGAAGUUGAGCACGGUUGCGCGUGGUUAGUACCCGGAUGGGUGACCAUCUGGCCAAUAGCAUGCUGCUAGCUUA
rfam:Asian citrus Psyllid, Diaphorina citri - Florida Strain, whole genome shotgun sequence.